UCAUAAUGAUAAUGAAAGUAGGUUGUAGAAAAGAAUUUUCUGGUGUUCUGGUGAUGGAAGAUUGCAGAGAGAUUGGAGGAAAAUCUGAUGAAAAGUUGUUAUUGUCAUUUUUUGAGAGAAAAAUGAUGGUUGUUGAUGGAGAAUUGAAGAACGGAUGAUGAUGAAUGAUCUUGAUGCGGUUCCGAGAGGACUGAAGGAAGUGUGAUCAAGUAUUGAACAUGGAGGCCUAAUUUUGAUUGGAAGUUUGCAAUGGACAAAUGGUGGAUGAAGCACGACAUAAAUUAAAGUUUGUAAAGAGUAUGGCAU